CUCAUUUCAUUUUUAAUGAUUAAAUAUUCAACUCUCAUCUUUUGCCCACUUGCUCACAUAUUCUUGCUAUAUUUUUGUUAAAAGAAUUUGAAUUUAAUAUUUAUAAUAAUAAUAAUAGGGACGGUAAGAGCAGAAGGAAUUUCCAGUGGAGCGGUGAAAUGCGUAGAGAUCGGAAAGAACACCAACGGCGAAAGCACUCUGCUGGGCCGACACUGACACUGAGAGACGAAAGCUAGGGUAGCGAAUGGGAUUAGAUACCGCAGUAGUCCCAGCCGUAAAUGAUGGAUACUAGACGUUGUGCGUAUCGACCCGCGCAUUGCUGUAGCUAACGCGUUAAGUAUCUCGUCUGGGGAGUACGUUCGCAAGAAUGAAACUCAAAGGAAUUGACGGGGGCCCGCAAUAGGGAUCAUUGUUGAAAUUGAAAAUCAAUAUAGGAUCACUAUUAUU
rnacentral:ncRNA from 1 species